rnacentral:rRNA from 1 species
UACGGAGGGUGCAAACGUUGCUCGGAAUCAUUGGGCGUAAAGCGCACGUAGGCGGACUGUUAAGUCGGAUGUGAAAUCCCUCAGCUUAACUGAGGAAGUGCAUUCGAAACUGGCAGUCUUGAGUAUGGAAGAGGGUCGCGGAAUUCCCGGUGUAGAGGUGAAAUUCGUAGAUAUCGGGAGGAGCACCAGUGGCGAAGGCGGCGACCUGGGCCAAUACUGACGCUGAGGUGCGAAAGCGUGGGGAGCAAACAGG